AUUAGGAAUCUUGUGCAAUGGGCGACAGCCUGACACAGCGACGCCGCGUGGGGGAGGAAGGCCUUCGGGUUGUAAACCCCUUUUGUAGAGGAAGAAACAAAUGACGGUACUCUACGAAUAAGCCCCGGCUAACUCCGUGCCAGCAGCCGCGGUAAUACGGAGGGGGCGAGCGUUGUCCGAAGUUACUGGGCGUAAAGGGCGCGUAGGCGGGAGGGUAAGUCCGCUGUGAAAGCCCGGCGCUUAACGCCGGAGGGUCGGUGGAGACUGCCUUUCUUGAAGGUGCCAGGGGGAGAUGGAAUUACCGGUGUAGCGGUGAAAUGCGUAGAGAUCGGUAGGAACACCAGUGGCGAAGGCGGUCUCCUGGAGCAUGCUUGACGCUGAGGCGCGAAAGCUGGGGGAGCGAACGG
rnacentral:rRNA from 1 species